rnacentral:piRNA from 1 species
UGAAAUCAAAAGAAGACUCAAGGCCA